rnacentral:rRNA from 1 species
UUAGAUCUCAAAUCAGGCA